AGGUUUAUGUGCAUAACAUGGUCACUGAAGACGGUCUGGUGAGUUGUUCAUCUGAAUUUGAAGCUGCAAUACAGAAUGGGGAAAGAACUUUAUUAAGGGUUUUAUGUGAUAAAAAGACUCAGGUAUCAGAAUCUGAGGAGGAAAGGGAAACAUGCGGCUUUUUGAAGGUUAUGUUUGAAGAUGAUGGAACUGCAAGAACAAAGCUUCUCACACACCUUGGUUUUAACGCACCAAGUGAAACAAAAGACACAGUUAGUGAUGAUCUUUCUCAGGAAGUCGAUGCUAUUGGACUUGAGGACACAGCUGUUAAUAACAUAGAACAUGUGGCUACAGCGUGCUUUAGUUGUUGGGGACUACAAGGGGGCAAUUUCUCAAUGCAUAUCUGCUAAUAAAUGGGCUGAUGCUUUAGUUAUUGCUCAUGUGGGUAGUACCUCCUUGUGGGAAAGUACACGGUAUCAAUACCUUAAGAAGAACCGAUCACCAUACAUAAAGAUUGUUUCAGCGAUCGUGAGCAGUGAUCUCUUUGUCAUAUUGAAGUGGUGAAAUUUAAGAUCAUGAUGCAAUAUGUGGAUGGUUUAUCUGUAACAACCGAACUCUAAUUAAUAUUAACUUAUUAAUUAGAAUUUCUUCAAAAAUCUAUUAAUUAGAAUCUCCAAUUAGAAGAUAAAAUGUUGUUUUGUGAGGAAAAUAAGAAAGAAUGACAUGCUAGUAAACAUUUAGAAGAUUGGAGCUAGUUUGUAAAUGAGUGUAUAAGUAGUCAUGAAUUGAAGAGAGAGCAACCCAUUAUCCCCUUCUCUGUUCAACGAAGCCAAUACCACCUCAUAGCAUGCAAAAUCCAAAAUUUCUUCUAUUAUCCUCAUUACAAGCUCACACAUGUAGAUUCCACUGUAACCAUCUCACAUAAAAGAAAGAAACCCAUUUUAUUCCUUUCCCUCCUCUCUGUACCAGUCGAAACUCUUCCCAAAUCUCAUUUUCUUCAAAUAUAGAAUGCUGCGAAACUCUAUUUUUCCCUUUGAUUCUCAACUGGCUGGAACCUUAGUGCUAUGGGUUAAAAGUCCCAAUUUCUUUCAAUUCUCUAUUUUAGAGUUUAUAUAAGUGAGAUUCUCAAUCAAAUUUAAAUUCGGUUUGCAGCUGGGAGUUGGAAAUUUGGAACAACAGGUUGGAAAUUCGGUUCAAUGUAGUCUUUGUUGUACAUGCAUGGAAAUGGAGGUACUCAUAUGGAGUGGUGAUUGGAAUUAAUUAAAUCAAGAGAGUUGCAAUGUACCUGAAGAGGUGCUGAUACCUUUUGUUUCUCGUGGCAAGUCAGGGGUUGUUUAAUGAGAUUUUAUUUGUAAACUAGUUAGUGGUGGAUUUGGCUACUCAAAGUUCUUGGUUGGAUUAAUAAGAAGCUAAAGUUUCAUCACCAAGUUCAUCAAUUAUGAGUUUGCUCAGAGAUGAAUGGACUAUGCUUUGCAACACACUUGCUUCAAAACUCACAGGGGCAGGCAAUACAUUAGCUGCAACUCUUUGUUUUAUACUCCCUCCAUUUCUUUUAAUUUGUCGUUUUAGAAAAAAAAAAUUUGUUUCAAAUUCCUUGUCGUUUUGAUAAUUUAAGGUUAUAUUUUGUCUAUUAUAUCCCAUGUAAAUUCCAAAUAUUCAGUAGUUAUUGAAACCAUAAAAGAUUUAAUAUAUAUUGAAUUUUUUAAAAAAAAAUUUGGUACAUAAUAUAUAUUAAAUUUUUAAAAUUUGCUGCUUUUCCACAAUUUGUGCUUGAGUCUAGAUUUGUGCUGGGGAAAUCUUAUUUUGACAUUCUUCAGGUAAGAUUGAUACUCUUAUUACGUGUAAAUAUGUAUAACUAUAAUAUAAACCUCCCACUUACCAAUAGUACUUGACAACUGACAAUUAUGCAUAUUGUUAGGAUUUGAUGGAAAAAAAACUAUUGUUCUUGCCUUGGCAACUGGGCAGAAGCGCUUUAGUGCCUCUCUGUGCAAGCUUGUUGAGAAAUAUGCUGAAAUCUUAGCAAGUCAAGGGUUGCUGACCACAAUGGAGUAUCUAAAACUUUUGGGUUCUGAAGAACUUUCAACAGAACUUGUAAUAUUGAAGGACCGAAUUGCACUGUCUACGGAACCUGAGGAAGACUUGAAAACCACUGCUUUUGAAAAUUCUCAAUCACAUGGUGGAUCCUUUUAUGGGGCUGAUAAUUCCAAUUAUAAUAUGAAUUAUUAUCAGUUUUGUAAGGGAUGGAUGCUUCAAUGACCUUCAAAGGAAAAUGCAUUAUGAAUGCUUUCGAAGCACAUUGUGGAAAAAUUGGAUGGUGGCUUUCAAAGCAGAGCUAUUUUAAUAUGAAUUUUAUUGUCUUUUUAUGACCGUAAUUGUGAAACUGUCACUAGUUGGUAUGGUAUACAUGAGCUCACUAACUCCAAAUUUGACAGUAAGAUGGAUAUUCUUUGUUCCAUGGUUUUUGCAAGGGAUUGCCUUGGUGGCCCAAAAACGCUGGAUGAUUGAUGCCUUAAUGUGAAAGCUGGUUAUUGCCUUAAAUGCAAUUUUAAUAUAAAAUUUCAUAGCCUAUUGAUAAGGGUUUCAAGAGAAUAUUUCAAGGAAGAAACGAAUCAACUAAAGGAAAGUACAAAGAAACUAACUCUUUGGUAUAGUCUCUCUGGUAUGCAGCCUACAAACUUGUUGUGAGUGAUGACAAUUCUUUCAGACAAUAUUAUUAUGUAACAGGUAUGCUCUGUGCCGAGAACCCUGAAAGUUUGUUUGCUAUGGAUGAUGUCUUAUUGUGAAAGCUAGUUGAUGAGAAGGAAUUCUUAGGUGCUGAGCUAUUCAAGUUUUUGUUUUAUUUCAUUAUGAUUGUUUGUAUUGCUUUUAUGAUUUCAAUCAUUGUUGAAUUAUUUAGAUUCAUAUAGCAACAUAUUCUUAUACAUAGAGUAACUUUGUUCAACCGUAGUUCACUAGAUGUGCAGUUCUGUAAUAGCAGGCUGUCAUCCUUUUAGAUUGAUUAUGAGACCAUCGUCCCAUAGAUGUGGAGAGACUCUAGAGAGAUGAUUGAAGCUUUGGUUGGAGGAUAGAAACUAGGGGACAAUAACAGAUUGUUACGGUUCCCUUUGAUAAGAACUGGAACAGAUUGGGUGAAGGAGAAUUAUUCGUCCCCGGAGUUUAUUAAAUUUGAAAAGAAAAGAUAAGAUACACUGAGGAAGAUACUCCCCACUACUGGUGAUUCCCAUCACUAAACAAAAGCCUAAAGAAAAAGAUCCUUCUAAAGGGGGAGGAGACUUUCUGUACAAGGGAAUAGGGCCAUAAGGGAGGUCUUUUAGUAACUGACUCCUAAAACCAAGGUCAGCUAACAACCCCUAACUACCUUGGUAACUAACUUUUUAAAACAGAAAACAAACUAAUAACAUAACAACUAAUACAAAGGGUAUUUCUAGAAUUUUUCUUAACAUAAACUCUUAGAGGUUGGGCACCUAAAUUAGUGGUCCUAUCACAGGUGUUGGGAACUUUCUAAUGAAUCCCACCUUUCAAGGUUGAGUUGUUAACCAGGCAGGCUUUUUAUGUCUGAAGUUAAUGUGGGAAAAAGUUUUCUUAAUAUGGUAAUUCUAUGAUUUAAGUUGCCUUUUCCCCCUAUAUGUAUGGUGUAGAAUAUAUGUAAGUGUGCUUCGGAAUGAAGGAAAAACAAGUGAUUCAACCAUUUUAUGUAUGGUAUAAUG